rnacentral:misc_RNA from 1 species
CCCAGUUUAAUUUCGAUUUGUCUGCGAAAAACAUGGCUGACAAGAUGGAUGAUAGUGAUGGUAUUAAAUAUUUUAAUUUAUCUUAUAUUCUUAUUACAGCUCUUUUCUAAUUAAAUCUUUUACCAUAAAUAUCGCUGUAAUUUUUUUCGAUUCGCAACAUAAUUUACUACAUAAAAUAUAGAAUAAGUAAUGAAAUAUAAAAGAUUUUCAAAUUUAUCUGAUAAUCAUUGUUCGACAAGCAAUCUGAAAAGAAUUGAAAAAGAGCUAAUAAAGAAAUUAGAUAUAUUAUCGUUUAUAAAUGUUUGAUGAUAAUUUGCAACAUUUUUCGUGUCUAGAGCUGAAAGCUUCUGUGGAUGGAACUAACGCAUCGGCUCCAAUUGAAGUUCGAAAGAAUAUACCGCUUAAACUGCAGUCGGGGACGAAGAAAACGGCAAAGACAUCUUCAAAUAAAAAAUUAAAAACUGGUAACAAAAAGUCUGAUAAAAACUGUAAUAACGAAAAAAUGGACACUUUUGAAAAGAGUGUGUAUCAAAACUGUUAUGACUUAGAGAAUUAGCCCUUGACUUUUCAAUUUUUCACGUACGUCUAGAUAAUAGUGACGAGGACUUUGCACAUGUAUCGACGAAUAAAAUGGCAGAUACUGGUGACCCUCUUCAUAAGAACGGAUUUUUACAAUGGGACCACAAAGUGUGUUUCUUUUUGACUAGUAGUCUGACAAUUGUUCCCAUGUAUAUGUCUUUCAUAGAAGCGGUAAACUUAAUUGUAAAUUAUUGUACAAAAAAUAAAAUUAGGGGUUCGUUUCAAAACAUUUGACAAUAUUCAUAUGUUUUUGUAUUUGUGGUUCUAUAUUUGUAUUCACGUUCAAAAACAUCUGAAAAUCUGCGCUAAGGAACAGCUGAGAAAAUGAAACGACAGUUGGUUAUUGAAUUGAGAAUCAGGCAAAGACACUACCGCUUCUAUGAAAAAUUUUUAGCCAAUUUCACUUUAAUUUUAGAAUACGUAAAUGUAAUUGAAGAUGUGAAAUUUGCUCAAGAAUACUUUAAAUUUUUUAAUGUUCGAUUGUUAAAUCAGUUUUUCUUCAAACAGGUAAAUUUGUUAGGUGAGAAGAUGCAAGAUAUUGAUAUCCAUUGCUGCGAAUUAUGUGAUCGACCGAUUUUAACUUAUGGAAGAAUGCUUCCCUGCAAACACAUAUUUUGUUGGAGAUGUGCAAAACGAAACGACACAAAAUGCGCGAGGUGCCAGCAUCUUGUUAAUAGGGUAGAACAGUGUGAACUUGGGAAAGUUUUUGUGUGUGUUGUGGACACAACAAAAGAUGGUAAGGAUGGGUGCAAAAGGACUUACUUAUCGUUACGUGACUUACAUGCUCAUAUGAAUUACCGUCAUCGAGGAGCUGUUGAAUCUAAUAUGACAAAUAAUUCUAAUCCAACACCGCAACCGGCUAUUAUGAAUAUGGUAACAACGACUCAUUCUGUUGAUACUGUGUGCCAGCGACCUUCCACGACAGCUACAAAGCCGCCAAGAAUGUCUAACCUGAUAACAGUUCCUUUACAAGAUGCUAGACAAGCUCCUAUGCCACAGAAUUAUAAUAACUAUGUACCAUACAAUACACCAUCAAAUGCAACACCAUUUACGAGGCCAACCUUCAACCCCAACGUUCCUCCUCCCAACUAUUCAGUUACUCAACAACUACCUAAUUUCGCACCACACAUUCAGACGGCAGCAGCUGUGUUUGCAGCAGUGGGGUCUAGAAAUUGGGGAGCGCCAGGAACACAACGACCACCAAGGACGAGUUUCUAUUAAGGCGUUAAUUUUUGUUUUUAACUAAUUUUCUGUAUAUCAGUGUUACAUAUUUUACUGUUUUUAUUCAAGCUUGUUGUAGGUUGCCACGAUGUCAUAAACUGUAAUUUUACAACGUUACGAGAUGCGCUACUUUCAUGCGUCAUACUGUUCUCUUGAAGAAUAAAUACGUUACUUAUGACAACUAUUUUUCGUUAUUAACAAUGACUUGGUUUAUGCCAUCAUGUGCGUUUUCGUAUAUUGUUAGAAUGCAAAUCAGUUGUGAAUAUGAUAAAAAAAAUUUCAAUAAAACUUUAAUGAAAAGCGAGUUUGUAAAUAUCGUAGUAAUGUGUGACGAUGAAUGGUUGUCUUUAUUAAAGAGAGAAUACUCUACGUUGACA